AGGAGAAGACCGUGGGGUAAGUAUGCGGCUGAGAUCAGAGAUCCAAACAAGAAAGGUGUUCGUGUCUGGUUAGGGACUUUUGACUCGGCAAUAGAAGCUGCAAGAGGUUAUGACAAGGCUGCUUUUAAACUACGAGGAAGUAAAGCCAUUCUUAACUUCCCACUCGAAGCAGGCAAGCACAAGGACUUAGGAGACAACAACAAGACUGUGUCUUUAAAAGCAAAGAGAAAAAGACAAGUAACAGAGGAGGAAAGCCACCUGAGCAACCAUAAAGCUGCGAAGAGGGAAGAAGCUCAGGCUCAGGUUGAUGCUUGUCCAUUAACGCCGUCUAGUUGGAUGGGAUUUUGGGACGGAGCAGACAGUAAAGAGAUGGGAAUAUUCUCCGUGCCUCUGUUAUCUCCUUAUCCAUCUCUACUCUCUAGUAUACUCUCCACUUGUGGUUAAGUAAGCUUCUGAGGAUCAAAUCAGGAAAAUUUCAAAAUUAGGUGCCAUUAGCAACUUUGGAUUGUCUUAAAGCCUCUAGAUUAGCUGAUUGUAAAAAAAAAAUGCUUUGCUACAAGAUUUAUUGAUUCUUCUUAAAUGCAAAUCUUUCUACCUUUCUUUAAACGAGUACCUUUUCCUUAAACGACAAUAAAGAGGAAGUUUGAACUUACAAGACCUACUAAUGAACCGUUCGAACAAAACGACGUCCUCCAAGACUUUGGUCGCAGUCUAAUUAUGCAGAAAACCACAAACAAAUGCACUUUGCUUUCAACCAUAGAACAACAAAUCUCAUCAGGAUCAGGUAAUAAAGUGUAGAUACCAACAUAUAGUUUGAUAAAGACUGACCCACUGGUUACUCAGGAUGGUCAACUAAAUUCUUACAAACCGACUCCAAGGGAAGCUGGAAGCCUGGACCUAUUUACAAUUGAAAAAACGGAUCUCAUAUAGACAGAAAUUGUUAUCCAUGGCCAAAGAGCCCUACAAAGACAAGAAAACUACUUUGGAACCACCGGAAUGAUCAUAUCCUUACAAUACACUGGAACCAUUUAACUAAGUGUGAAAUCAUGUGGGUAUUUACAUAUAUGUAUACACACACGUUGUACUGAAGUACAAAGACAAUGAGUCCACAGUUUAAGGAGGGCCUAAACCGACAAACAUCAAGAAAUUGUCUAAAAGAGGCAAGUAGACAGCCACUCGUGCAUCCACCUUGGAAAAAUAUUAUUUAACUUUACCCCUAAAAGUUAAACUAAGUGUCAAUUUUUCUUUCAAAAUUGUCUUUAAAAAAACCAUAUUUUAAUCUGUGUAUUAGAUAUGAAGAAGCCUGGAAAUAGACACUAGCUUGAUGAUGGUCCCUCAGGGAUAAAGAAAAAUCCAAAAAAUCCCUCCUUUCUUAUCUUAAAACUAUAAUAUUUAAAGCCCCACUUGCCACACUAAAAAACAACAGUAGAACUAAACAAGUCAAAAUAGUUGAAAAGGAUCCUUCCUCUUUCCAAGCGAGGAAGCUAACUACGAAACCUCUCACUUGCCACUUUUAUAUAACCCUCCAAUCUCAAAAACCAAAACCCACAAUCAAAACAACAAUCAAAUAGAAAAAGACUCUCCAACAUCAUCUAUGGAUUCUUCAUAUCAACAACAGCAAAAAGAACAAGACCAAUCAACUUUAGAUCUCAUAACCCAACACCUUCUUACUGAUUUCUAUUCCUUCGAAACCUUUGUCUCAAACAUCCACCACAGCACCACCUCCACUCUUAGCCAACGCAAGCCACCUCUUGCCACCAUUGCAGUUCCUACUACUGCUCCAGUGGCUCAGGAGGAUGAUCAAAGGCAUUACAGAGGUGUGAGGCGAAGACCGUGGGGUAAGUAUGCAGCUGAGAUCAGAGACCCUAAAAAGAAAGGUGUUCGUGUCUGGUUAGGGACUUUUGACACAGCCAUGGAAGCUGCAAGAAGUUACGACAAGGCUGCUUUCAAACUACGAGGAUGCAAAGCUAUUCUUAACUUCCCACUCGAAGCAGGAAAGCACGCAGACUUAGGAGACAACAACAACAACAACAACAACAAGACUCUGUCUUUAAAAGAAAAGAGGAAGAGACAAGUACCCGAAGAUGAAAGCUACCUGAGGAGCCAUAAAACUGUUAAGAGAGAAGAAGCUCAGGCUCAGGUUGAUGCUUGUCCAUUGACGCCGUCUAGUUGGAUGGGGUUUUGGGACGGAGCAGACAGUAAAGAUAUGGGAAUAUUCUCCGUGCCUCCAUUACCUCCUUCUCCAUCUCUUGGAUACUCUC
rnacentral:lncRNA from 1 species